CUUUUCAUGUACUGAUUCACGAGGACUUAAGCCUGUAUCUAUGAUGCAGUUGUUUUCCCAGUCUUGGGAGCUGGCAGAUGAAUAGGGUUAUAGGAACCAAGAUGCUGGCUAUUUGGAAGGGUCCAGAAUCGCCUGGUAAGACAGAACAGUGGGGCAAGGGAUCUAAGCCUGUGGGCUGGGCAGAGUUUGCUGUGCUACGCUAGGGUUCUGGUCUGAGAAGGGAAUGGAAGGGUGGAGUUCUGAUAGGGAGAAAACUGUCAAGGGCUUUUUGAAAGUGAAGACGUGGGAGGAAGUGACCAGGAGGCUGGGAGCAUGUGGUAAAAGAGUAGGAUGUUCAAUUGUAAGAAAGAUUUAGAAGUGGAAAAGUUUUGGAUUGUCAAGAUUGUGAGUGUGGCCUGGAAAAGGGUGGCUAAUUUGAGUUCUAUUGCCUUUGUACCUCUGACGCAUUUAGGUGACAAUAAACAUUUCUCAUCUCAAUAUUACUCUAUUAACAAACAGCCAAAAGAGAAAAAAAAAUCAAGUAGUAAGCAGAGUGUUUAUUUUUUUAAAAUUACUUAAAAAAGGUUGUUUACAGAGAUGUGGAUUUAUAUAACUUGGUGACAACAUUUUUAAAAUGUACAGGCUAUUUCAUAUUAUUGCACUUACUCUUUAAUAUAUAAGGCAUUUUACUUUACAUAAAUAAAGGAUAAUGUAUAAUAUCAUACAAAGUUAUGGUGCCAAUUAAGUCAACCAUCAAAUUCAAUGAGAUGUGUGGGAAGAUGGAAAUGAAACCCAGCCUACUUUAAUCUUCAUGGUAUAUUCUUGCAACUACGAUUUACUUGUUAAUAACACAUAUUUACCCUCAUAGCUUAUUGUGAAUGACUGACCAGUUAAAAAAAAAGAAACAAUGACAGUUUUAGUAGGACAAUACCAUUAGUGUUCACUUCAGAAAGUGUGGGAAUUUAUUAGGCUAAUUAGAAAUACUAGUCAUGCCUUGAACACUGAAGACAAAUAAAUAGCUUUCUAUCUUAGGGUCAAAGACAGUUUAGCUUUUGCUUCUUCCCUUAAAUUUCAACUGUUGGCGAGGGAAACCUUCUGGCAAGAUGUAGUAGCAGUGGCUGAUGACUUUAGCAUAGUGUAUGUGGUAAGCUAGAGGUCUACCCUUGUACUCCAGAUAUGAGGAUUAAAGACUUGGAGACCAUUCCAUUUGCUCCACAUUGCACAAGAAAUUCCUGUCUGUUCACAUAGGGCUGUGCUUUAUUAAUUAUUAUUAGGCACAGCUGUAAGAGUGGAGGCGAAAAGCAGUUUUCAGUGUUGACUUGAAAUAGUCUUUGAUUUAGGCAAGAAAGCAGAAACCACAAAACUGACCCCAGAGACUGAAAAACAAUCAAGCAUGCACCUUGCACUGACUUCCUACAGUAUCCUACCUGUAACUGUAGUGAAAAGUAGAAGUAAAAUCAAUAAGACCUUUCUAACUAACUCCUGUACUAUAUUUUCCUUUGUAUUGCCGGUUGAUGAGAAAUCUGGACUCAGACAAGCCAGCUAUUUCUCUCUCAUCUGAAGGACCUCUCUAGGCCAACUUCAAAGAUGUUUAGUGGGAUUGGUCAUUCAGAAAAAUGAUUGAUGUACAAAGCUGAUGGCUAAAGCCCCUCCAUGAAUCUGGGGGUCACAGCCAUAGACCCAAGCUGUAGGUUAUUUAAAGAAGUAUCUCCAACAUAAAAUCUUAGUGUCAUGCACACAGGUAUGGCAAAUGCACUCUCCACUCAUGUUGUCAGGGCUCAACGGGUUGGUUUGUGCCGCUGAAGACCUGGCUUGUAACUACAUUUCUGCUCCUUUACCUUGACUCACCCUGUUUCUCCUCCUCUUUAUGACCCGAUGAGAGUUUGGAAUUUACCUAAGAAAAUAAGGUACAUCAUGAGGAGAGAAAAGCCAGCUAUGUGACGACAAACGGAAUAUCCAAUCGGAAUAGCUACUGGGAAGCAGCUCAUGCCACCAGAGGAGGAGUGGCCAGAGUCUUUAGGAAACAUUCAGUGUUGUACAAAGCAGAGGUUUGAGCAGGAUAUGUCUCUCUCUCCAUUUACUCAUAGAUUUUUUAAAAAUGUCCUUUAGAAAGCUUUUAUGCUUUUUCCCAAAAAGGUCUUGCGUAGCUUUUGUUGAACACAUUCUUAGGUUCCUUAUGCUUACCAUGCAGUUUUCACAGAUUUGUGGCCAGAUGCGACACACAAGGCUGAGAAGUUGUCCAGGACGUCAUAUUCUUGCUUUGCUGGAGGCAGAUCUGAAGGAUGUCAUCUCUCCUGUGGCUUCUUCUAGUGUGGGGUCCCGAAGCCUGGCUUCCCCAGCCGAUGUGCUGCUUUAGUCAGCGUCUGCCCUGGUCCUUCGGUUCGCAGGCUCACACGCUUUUUUGGGUUGUGUCCCUUUGGACUGCAGAGGCUACGUGUCCUGUGACCAACCACGGAGGCGGCCACUCCCGCUCCCCUCAGGAG
rnacentral:lncRNA from 1 species